rnacentral:tRNA from 1 species
CAGGAAGUAGUUUAAUUAAAAUUUAAAUUUUGGAGAUUUAAGAUGGAUUGUUUCUUUCCUGA